CAGGCAUUUGAAAUCUCUCUACUCUCUUUCAGAGCGACAGUCACUGCCGUGAGCCGUCACAACCUCCGCCACCACCAGCCUCUGUCGCUCUCUCCCACAAUCCGACAGCUGCUCUGCCCUCAAAAGGUCUUGGAACCACUCUGCUGUUAAUUGGACUACUCGAGUUUGGAGCUCGCAGCCUCAAACAUGUCAAUUGGGUCGUUAUUCAUCAGCCGGGCAUUUAUUAAAGCUCCCAAACAAGCAACACUAGAACAAGUGCCAGGUUCACAGUCCUCAGUUACUCAAAAUUACACAGAGAGCCCUCGAGACGUAGAGGUUUAAAUAUUGGGAUGUGCAUGACAAGUGUGAAUGGAGGAUUUGGACAUAAUCCUCAUGUGCAUAGAGACGGUGUCAUCAUCGUAUGCCAUGAUUCGAGGUGUAAAGAAUAAAUCUCAUGCUAAGUAAGCAAUCAAGUUUUGAUAUUAGGCUACAUUAAUAGUUCAAAACCACUUAUUAAUAGUUGCUGUGAUUUUCUCAAAAAAAAAAAAAAAAAAAGUUGCUGUGAAAACUGUCUUCAAAUUCUUAUGAUUUUGAACUAAUGGAAUUUCAGGUGGGUUUGUGCCCAUGUUUAGGGAGAGAACCAGGUACACCAUAUGGUAAAAUUAAUAGAGCACAUCGUUCACAGUUUGACGUUUUUAUUACAGAUAUAAAGAUGGUCAGCCACUCACCAUGCCUUUGUAAACAUUUUGCAUAAUGCAUUUCUUGAAGUUCUUAUGUCUGUGAAAUUUUCAGUUUGUACAAAUUUUGUAUAAUUAGGAGUUGGCAGAACCAUCAAUUCAAGAUGCAUUCAAUUGAUGUGUUCAACAAGGGGCCAAUCAUAUUAUUGUAAGCCCAUUUUUCCUCUACCUAGAAGACAUUGGGACAUGGAUAUUCCAUCCCUAACAGCUGAAGCUGCAAAGGAGCAUCCUUGUAUGUGCUAUAUAAUAACUGCACCUCUUGGCCUCCAUCCACCGCUAGUGGUACAACUGCUGAGUUUCCUGAUUUUUCUUUUCCUAAACAUAAGACAUUGUUCUGUAGCUGUUUCUAAAGCUUUGCAUAAAGCUCUAUUUGUGCUUAGCUUGAUGGAGUUUAGAAACAUAUAGACAUAACCCAAGGGACCUUGUGUGUGGCAUACUUCAAUGCCAAACCAGUUGAUGAGGACUGUGGCUGUGCUUUCAGUCCAAGUUGAUGAGGACUUUGGCUGCUGGAUGUAGUAAAUGACAGGAUCAAUUACUACCUUAGUCGUGUUGCUGAGAUGUGGAUGAGUGUGCUGUUUGUUUUGGAACAAGAAAAUGCCUGCUCCAUUGAUGUAUUCAUGUUCGCGCCACCAUUAUUUUCCAAAAUACUGUUGCCCCACCUAUAUGUAUGUAACCCUGCCUUCCUUCUGACAAGCUACCAUUUGCUAUAUAUCUUUGGGUGUCAGAACCAGUCCUCUGCUGUUAGUUGGACUACUCGAGGGUCGGAGCUCACAGCCUCAGACAUGUCAAUUGGGUCGUCGUCACCUGCCCAGCAUCUACCACUAAAAGCUCCGAAACAAGCGACAGCGGAACAAAUGUUAGGUUCGCAGUCCUCAGCUACUCAAAAUUGCAUGGAGAGCCCUCAAGAUGUAGAGAUUUAAAUAUAGGGUUGUGCAUGAGAAGUGGUAAAGGAGGAUUUAAACAAAAUCCUCAUGGGACGGUGUCAUCAACAUAGACCCUGGUUCGGGCCAUGAGGAAUCAAAUCUAAUGCUAAGCGGACAACGGGGAGCAACGGAGGACUGCCGCAGAAGACCAAAGAUAGGCACGCGACGGUAGAGAUCAAGACGUCGUCACCUGGAUCUAAAGCGAUCGUCGCGUAUCACGAUCAAAUCUUUUGCGCCGGUUUGAAUUGGUACCAGUCACCAGAGGCGUCGUCGCUGUCGAGGAUGCGGAGCUCGCCAGCAAGUUUGGGGACGG